AGGUCCUCACCCGCACGUACCUA
rnacentral:siRNA from 1 species